rnacentral:rRNA from 1 species
GAGUUUGAUCCUGGCUCAGUAAGUCGUAACAAGGUAACCAGGUAACCAAGUCGUAACAAGGUAACCAUACACGCUAGAGUUUGACCCUGGCUCAGUAAGUCGUAACAAGGUAACCAUACACGCUAGAGUUUGAUCCUGGCUCAGAAUCAACGCUGGCGGCGCGCCUAACACAUGCAAGUCGAACGAGAAAGUGGAGCAAUCCAUGAGUAAAGUGGCGUACGGGUGAGUAACACGUGGAUAACCUGCCCUUUAGUGGGGAAUACCGAUGGGAAACCGUCGACAAUACCGCAUAAGCUCGAGAGAGGAAAGCAGCAAUGCGCUGAAGGAGGGGUCCGCGGUCGAUUAGCUAGUUGGUGAGGUAACGGCUCACCAAGGCUGUAAUCGAUAGCCGGCCUGAGAGGGCACACGGCCACACUGGCACUGAAACACGGGCCAGACUCCUACGGGAGGCAGCAGUGGGGAAUCUUGCACAAUGGAGGAAACUCUGAUGCAGCGACGCCGCGUGAGCGAUGAAGCCCUUCGGGGUGUAAAGCUCUUUCGGCAGGGAAGAUUAUGACGGUACCUGCAGAAGCAGCUGCGGCUAACUACGUGCCAGCAGCCGCGGCAAUACGUAGGCAGCAAGCGUUGUUCGGAGUUACUGGGCGUAAAGGGUGCGUAGGCGGCCAUAAAAGUAUGGUGUGAAAUCUCCCGGCUUAACUGGGAGGGUGCGCUAUAAACUGCAUGGCUAGAGUGUGGGAGAGGAAAGUGGAAUUCCUGGUGUAGCGGUGAAAUGCGUAGAUAUCAGGAGGAACACCGGUGGUGUAAACGGCUUUCUGGACCAUAACUGACGCUGAGGCACGAAAGCGUGGGUAGCAAACAGGAUUAGAUACCCUGGUAGUCCACGCCCUAAACGAUGCAUAUUUGGUGUGGGCCAUUCAUUUGGUCCGUGCCGGAGCUAACGCGUUAAAUAUGCCGCCUGGGGAGUACAGUCGCAAGGCUGAAACUCAAAGGAAUUGACGGGGGCCCGCACAAGCGGUGGAGCAUGUGGUUUAAUUCGACGCAACGCGAAGAACCUUACCUGGGCUCGAAAUGCUAUGGAUCAGCUGAUGAAAGUCGGCCUUCCCGCAAGGGACUGUAGUAUAGGUGCUGCAUGGCUGUCGUCAGCUCGUGUCGUGAGAUGUUGGGUUAAGUCCCGCAACGAGCGCAACCCUUGUCCUGUGUUGCCAUUUAUGGAACUCGCAGGAGACCGCCAGGGAUAACCUGGAGGAAGGUGGGGAUGACGUCAAGUCCUCAUGGCCUUUAUGUCCAGGGCUACACACGUGCUACAAUGGACGGUACAAAGGGCUGCCAACCCGCGAGGGGGAGCCAAUCCCAAAAAACCGUUCUCAGUUCGGAUUGCAGGCUGCAACUCGCCUGCAUGAAGCUGGAAUCGCUAGUAAUGGCGGAUCAGAACGCCGCCGUGAAUACGUUCCCGGGCCUUGUACACACCGCCCGUCACAUCACGAAAGUGGGUUGUACUAGAAGUCCGCACGCCGACCGCAAGGAGGCAGCGGCCCAAGGUAUGACUCAUGAUUGGGGUGAAGUCGUAACAAGGUAACCAAU